UAAUUACUUCCUCCGUUCGGAAUUACUUGUUGCAGAAAUGGAUGUAUCUAGACGUAUCUUCGUUCUAGAUACAUCCAUUCCCGAGACAAGUAAUUCGGAAUGGAGGAGAUACGUG
rnacentral:pre_miRNA from 1 species